rnacentral:rRNA from 1 species
UUGUAACCCGCUUUCAGUAGGAAGAAGCGAAAGUGACGGUACCUACAAAAGAAGCACCGGCUAACUAUGUGCCAGCAGCCGCGGUAAUACAUAGGGUGCAAGCGUUGUCCGGAAUUAUUGGGCGUAAAGAGCUCGUAGGUCGUUUGUUACGUCGGAUGUGAAAACCUGAGGCUCAACCUCAGGCCUGCAUUCGAUACGGGCAAACUAGAGUUUGGUAGGGGAGACUGGAAUUCCUGGUGUAGCGGUGGAAUGCGCAGAUAUCAGGAGGAACACCAAUGGCGAAGGCAGGUCUCUGGGCCAAUACUGACACUGAGGAGCGAAAGUCUGGGGAGCGAACAGGAUUAGAUACCCUGGUAGUCCAGACCGUAAACGGUGGGCACUAGUUGUGGGAACCUUCCACGGUUUCUGCGACGCAGCUAACGCAUUAAGUGCCCCGCCUGGGGAGUACGAUCGCAAGAUUAAAACUCAAAGGAAUUGACGGGGACCCGCACAAGCGGCGGAGCAUGCGGAUUAAUUCGAUGCAACGCGAAGAACCUUACCAAGGCUUGACAUAUACGAGAACGGGCUAGAAAUAGUCAACUCUUUGGACACUCGUAAACAGGUGGUGCAUGGUUGUCGUCAGCUCGUGUCGUGAGAUGUUGGGUUAAGUCCCGCAACGAGCGCAACCCUCGUUCUAUGUUGCCAGCACGUAAUGGUGGGAACUCAUGGGAUACUGCCGGGGUCAACUCGGAGGAAGGUGGGGAUGACGUCAAAUCAUCAUGCCCCUUAUGUCUUGGGCUUCACGCAUGCUACAAUGGCCGGUACAAAGGGCUGCAAUACCGUAAGGUGGAGCGAAUCCCAAAAAGCCGGUCCCAGUUCGGAUUGAGGUCUGCAACUCGACCUCAUGAAGUUGGAGUCGCUAGUAAUCGCAGAUCAGCAACGCUGCGGUGAAUACGUUCCCGGGUCUUGCACACACCGCCCGU